GUCAACAGCCGUGCCACCCUGAUCUCAUCUGAUCUCGAAAGCUAAGCAGGGUCGGGCCUGGUUAGUACUUGGAUGGGAGACCACCUAGGAAGACCAAGUGCUGUGGGCA
rfam:Pteropus alecto contig37073, whole genome shotgun sequence.